GUGCCAGCAGCCGCGGUAAUACGGAGGGUGCGAGCGUUAAUCGGAAUAACUGGGCGUAAAGGGCACGCAGGCGGUUAUUUAAGUGAGGUGUGAAAGCCCCGGGCUUAACCUGGGAAUUGCAUUUCAGACUGGGUAACUAGAGUACUUUAGGGAGGGGUAGAAUUCCCACGUGUAGCGGUGAAAUGCGUAGAGAUGUGGAGGAAUACCGAAGGCGGAAGGCAGCCCCUUGGGGAUGUAAUGAGGCUCAUGUGGGAAGGCGUGGGAGCAAACAGGGAUUAGAUCCCUUGGUAGUCC
rnacentral:rRNA from 1 species